CCGCGCUCCUACACGCACGGGGAGCUGGCCUUACACAUCCCCACCCAGUACCUGAAGGUGAAGGGAGAUGGUGGGCUUGCGUUCUGUUGGCGUGCGCCGCCUUUACGUUCCGCGAUGGGAACAGGGAGGAAGAGCUUUGGACCCCGCCGGGCCGGGUAGUGCAGCUGCCACCCAGCCCUCCCUAGCGCCAUGCCUAAAUCCGGGCUGGCUCGCUCUGAACGCUGCCCGGCCCUGCGGCCCCCUCGCCGGGCACUGGCCAGCCGGAGACCAGCCAGGUCACUCCGGAGAGCCUCGCUACCGCUCGGAACCUCGCGGGAUCACAGCGCCCUACUCAGGCUUUUGGGGACUGAGACGUCCAGGCGGUACCCUUUGCCAAGUCAGCACCCACCUUCGCCUCAGCUAGGCACUCUGGUCUCGGAGGCACCGGCUCUGGGAGCUCCAGAGAGGGCGAGGCCAGUUCUACUCCUUCCCAAAAAGGGUUUGAGACCAAGACACUGAUGCUGAGAACACUGUUCCUCGUUCUGAUGCCAGCAGCUUGCACAUGGUUAAUGCUGGAACAGGAGGCAGGAAUGUCACAUCCCUUUUCCGGGUGCUCCUCAAGGUUCUCCCAGCUGGAGAACAAACCCAACUGGAAGUGGAAGGGCCCAUUCAUAAACAGGUGGGCCCUCAAUCCAGUGAUGAGUGUCCUUACGAGAGAUAAGAAGAGAAAACAUGAAAGAGAGGCUACGUGAAGAUGGAGGCAGACAAUCGAGUGAGGCACUGGACAUGCCGGAGCCUCCAGAUGCAGGAAAAGGCAAGGAGUUCUCUUCUCCACUAGAGCCUCCAGAGGGAGCACAGUCCCACUGACAACUUCAUUUUGGAUUUCUGGCUCCAGAACUUGCGGCUUAAUGCUCACAGAUGAAGCACCGAUUCUGAGAGCAUGAGGAUGAAGUAAAUGAGAAAGCCAGAAGGAUAUCUAGUCUCUGAAGGCAUCAUGAAGACUUGUUGCUAUGAGGGGAAAAAAAAGACCAUUUGACAAACCAGUAGAAGGAAGAGGUGCCCUCAUUAAGAUUUCUAAUUCAGUGGGUUUGGAGAAGGGCCCUGCAUCUUUCACAUGAACUGCAAGUGAUCCUCUAGCCAGUAAUCCAAAGAUCAUCCUGAAGAAACUCUGCUUUGGCAGGUGUGUAAAUGGGAAAUUUCAUGGUAAAUGCAGAAGAGAGAGAAGAGCAUCAUAAAUUUGAGGACGAUGGCAAGUCAAGUAACAAAUUGCCAGUGGCAUCUAAGAGCUUACAAAUAAAUGACUGCUUAGACUUUACAUUAUGACCCACCAACACGAUCCCUGAAUUUUCAAAUUUAUGAGAUAUCACAGUGAAAGAGAACUAAUGGUAAAUCUAGAAAUUGCUUUUAGCAGAUUCAGUCACUUCCAUUAUCAUUUAGUGUUAUGAAAUCCUACCGAGUAGAUGAGAAUAUUGUCUACCUGAGAACUGUUGCUCUAUAAUAUAUUGACUUGGGUGACCUAUACUAAGAAAUGUAAGACCUAUUCAACUCUCACAAGUGCAGUUAAAGCAGUUCCCUUUCUAAGAAGCAAAUCUAAAUAUAAUAAAUGGAUGCUGCCUCUAUUUAAAUAAAGGACUUUAAUUGUCAAUAUCAGUACAAAAUAUUCCAUUUUUUUCUUCCUGAGAGUAUCUUAUUUACAGAUAAUAACCCCAGUUCUGAUUUUUAAUCAUGAUAGCUCCCUUGCUAAAACAAAUCCAGCAUAUAAGAAUCUAUGCUUCCACAGAAGAUGCAUUUAGGCUAUUGAUCCUUUCUUUAUAAAAUAGCAAGCUCCCCUAAUGCAUUUAAAAUUGGACUUUAUUGAAACAUGGCAUUAGAAUUCUUAUACUGAAAUUUUUGUGAAGUGUAUAUAGCAAACAUAAAAUAAUUACAGUGGAGUUCUGUCUUAUUCAGGAGUCAGGCACUUAAGUGUGUUCAUAACACUCAAGUGUAGACAUAAAUUAACAUUGGAAAUCUCUCAAAUCGUCCAUGUAGUGUAAAACAAUAGCAGGUUUCCUGGCCUUCAGUGACAUGAAUGUUUAAAUACCGACUCCCUUCUUUCAUGCUUUCAGCGCUAAAGAUGAGGAGUUGAGAAGAACUGACAAGUGCAGGUUGAGAUUACCCAUAUUCUGCCCAGGGCAAGGGAUUCAGAAGAAAAAUACAAAGUCGUGGCCCUCAGGGUCCAGUCUGGUGGGAGGACAGACCAGGAAGCAAUCCAUUAUAGUGGGGUAAGGGCUCUAGGGGAGUUAUGGUCAAGCUGUAUCAUGGACCUAUAAAAGCGCAAAUGUCCCUUGAGCUAGGACUGAGACAGGGAGAGAUGAGGCAGCCAGGCAGACAUCUAAGAGGAGGUGCUGGCACUGGUGCCGCAUUUUAGAGGCUGGAGUAAACAGCUGUGUGUGCUGCCUGGGGAAGUAGGAAAGGGAAUGAAGCUGCUUCCCAGGGCUGGAGCACAGUGUGCCUCAGGAGAGCGGCCAGGAACCGAGGAAAAAUAGGGAAGGCCCAGAGCAAAAGCCUCCACACAAUGCUAAGGAAUUUUAACUUUAUUCUAAAAAUAAUGGGCAGUCAUUAAAGGAUACUAAGCAGAAAAAUGAAUUAAGUAAACUUGCAUUUAGGAAGUUUAUUCUGAUUGAUAAAAUUUAGGGUUUAUGGUGAUUUCCAUGAAGCAUUCAAAAUUAGAACGUUGGUCAGGAACUUCAUCCCCUAAUAUGCCUGCUCUAAGUUCUUUAUAUUUUACCUGCAAUUGGCACCCAGAAAUAAAGAUGACUUCCAAUACAACUCUGUAUUUUACUGACUUCACUCCUGUGGGCCAUCAUGACUCUGGGAGACUUCUCUCUGAAUUCAAGAAAUCAAUGUAAAAUAAUUUAAUAGGAAUUAUCUAUCCUUUUCAUUCAUUUAUUUCCCAAGGCCAGCUUCUAAGUGAAUCUAGAGAAAAUGUUACCAUGGAUCCCCACUCUGUGCUUGAAAUGCAAAUGAUAAGUAAUGAUGACACUAAUGAAAAAUUAGCCCUAAUUGCUAGUCAUUGGAGCAAUAUUUCUUUUUUAUGACACUGAUUUGAGUAGUCCAUGAAGAGGAAAUUCAGAAUCAAAACCAGUUAUAAAUGAACCAUUUUGAAGGACUGGAGUCCAGAGCAAGUGUUAUUUAAUCUGCCCAGAGGCCAUGCAGAAGGACAGCCUGUU